GCCGGGAGUUGUGGCGAGCUCUUGUAAACUAGCUUAUAGGUGGCGUAGAAUGAGGAUGAUCUGCCAAUUGGAUUACCAUUUGAAUUGUAGUCAUUGAUGAUCGAAUGUCCGCAUCAAGUGUAGCGUUAACAAGCUAACUUCUUGGGAACUUGAUGUUAACUGGUUAAUGUCUUAAAGACAAAUAAAGAAAGAUGAAUGGCUCAGGUCCGAAAAGGGAACAGGCAAAAAUCUUCGCGUUAUAACAGUGAUCGGAUGGCAUACGCUAGAUGGUUACAUUCAAGUGCCAAUUGCAUAUGAUUACACUCAUUCUUUU
rnacentral:SRP_RNA from 1 species